AGUGGCGGACGGGUGAGUAACGCGUGAGAAUCUGCCUUCAGGAGGGGGACAACAGUUGGAAACGGCUGCUAAUACCCCGUAAGUCUACGGAUAAAACGGUUAAUUCCGCCUGAAGAUGAGCUCGCGUCGGAUUAGCUAGUUGGUGGGGUAAAGGCUUACCAAGGCGACGAUCCGUAGCUGGUCUGAGAGGAUGAUCAGCCACACUGGGACUGAGACACGGCCCAGACUCCUACGGGAGGCAGCAGUGGGGAAUUUUCCGCAAUGGGCGAAAGCCUGACGGAGCAACGCCGCGUGCGGGAGGACGGCCUGUGGGUUGUAAACCGCUUUUCUCAGGGAAGAAGAUCUGACGGUACCUGAGGAAUCAGCAUCGGCUAACUCCGUGCCAGCAGCCGCGGUAAUACGGAGGAUGCAAGCGUUAUCCGGAUUUAUUGGGCGUAAAGCGUCCGCAGGCUGCUAAUCAAGUCUGCUGUUAAAGGCCGAGGCUUAACUUCGGUUGAGCAGUGGAAACUGAUUAGCUAGAGUGCGAUAGGGGUAGAGGGAAUUCCCAGUGUAGCGGUGAAAUGCGUAGAUAUUGGGAAGAACACCAGUGGCGAAGGCGCUCUACUGGGUCGCAACUGACGCUGAGGGACGAAAGCUAGGGGAGCGAAAGGGAUUAGAUACCCC
rnacentral:rRNA from 1 species